rnacentral:rRNA from 1 species
AGAUCUAAGCCAUGCGAGUCGAAUGUAGCAAUACAUGGCGAACUGCUCGGUAACACGUGGACAACCUGCCCUUAGGACGGGGAUAAACCCGGGAAACUGGGGUAUAAUACCCGAUAGGUCUCGAUUGCUGGAAUGCAUCGAGAUUUAAAGCUCCGGCGCCUAAGGAUGGGUCUGCGGCCUAUCAGGUAGUAGUGGGUGUAGCGUACCUACUAGCCUACGACGGGUACGGGUUGUGAGAGCAAGAGCCCGGAGAUGGAUUCUGAGACACGAAUCCAGGCCCUACGGGGUGCAGCAGGCGCGAAAACUUUACAAUGCUGGCAACAGCGAUAAGGGAACCUCGAGUGCCAGGUUACAAAUCUGGCUGUCGAGAUGCCUAAAAAGCAUUUCAUAGCAAGGGCCGGGCAAGACCGGUGCCAGCCGCCGCGGUAACACCGGCGGCUCGAGUGGUAACCGUUAUUAUUGGGUCUAAAGGGUCUGUAGCCGGCCGGAUAAGUCUCUUGAGAAAUCUGGCAGCUUAACUGUCAGGCUUUCAGGAGAUACUGUCUGGCUCGAGGCCAGGAGAGGUGAGAGGUACUUCAGGGGUAGGGGUGAAAUCUUGUAAUCCUUGAAGGACCACCAGUGGCGAAGGCGUCUCACCAGAACGGACCUGACGGCAAGGGACGAAAGCUAGGGGCACGAACCGGAUUAGAUACCCGGGUAGUCCUAGCCGUAAACGAUACUCGCUAGGUGUCGGCCACGGUGCGACCGUUGUCGGUGCCGUAGGGAAGCCGUGAAGCGAGCCACCUGGGAAGUACGGCCGCAAGGCUGAAACUUAAAGGAAUUGGCGGGGGAGCACCACAACGGGUGGAGCUUGCGGUUUAAUUGGAUUCAACGCCGGAAAUCUUACCGGGACCGACAGCAAUAUGAAGGCCAGGCUGAAGACUUUGCCGGAUUAGCUGAGAGGUGGUGCAUGGCCGUCGUCAGUCGUACUGAGCUC